GACGAACGUUGGCGGCGUGCUUAACACAUGCAAGUCGAACGGAAAGGCCCUGCUUUUGUGGGGUGCUCGAGUGGCGAACGGGUGAGUAACACGUGAGUAACCUGCCCUUGACUUUGGGAUAACUUCAGGAAACUGGGGCUAAUACCGGAUAGGAGCUCCUGCUGCAUGGUGGGGGUUGGAAAGUUUCGGCGGUUGGGGAUGGACUCGCGGCUUAUCAGCUUGUUGGUGGGGUAGUGGCUUACCAAGGCUUUGACGGGUAGCCGGCCUGAGAGGGUGACCGGCCACAUUGGGACUGAGAUACGGCCCAGACUCCUACGGGAGGCAGCAGUGGGGAAUAUUGCACAAUGGGCGGAAGCCUGAUGCAGCAACGCCGCGUGCGGGAUGACGGCCUUCGGGUUGUAAACCGCUUUCGCCUGUGACGAAGCGUGAGUGACGGUAAUGGGUAAAGAAGCACCGGCUAACUACGUGCCAGCAGCCGCGGUGAUACGUAGGGUGCGAGCGUUGUCCGGAUUUAUUGGGCGUAAAGGGCUCGUAGGUGGUUGAUCGCGUCGGAAGUGUAAUCUUGGGGCUUAACCCUGAGCGUGCUUUCGAUACGGGUUGACUUGAGGAAGGUAGGGGAGAAUGGAAUUCCUGGUGGAGCGGUGGAAUGCGCAGAUAUCAGGAGGAACACCAGUGGCGAAGGCGGUUCUCUGGGCCUUUCCUGACGCUGAGGAGCGAAAGCGUGGGGAGCGAACAGGCUUAGAUACCCUGGUAGUCCACGCUGUAAACGGUGGGUACUAGGUGUGGGGUCCAUUCCACGGGUUCCGUGCCGUAGCUAACGCUUUAAGUACCCCGCCUGGGGAGUACGGCCGCAAGGCUAAAACUCAAAGGAAUUGACGGGGCCCCGCACAAGCGGCGGAGCAUGCGGAUUAAUUCGAUGCAACGCGUAGAACCUUACCUGGGUUUGACAUGGAUCGGGAGUGCUCAGAGAUGGGUGUGCCUCUUUUGGGGUCGGUUCACAGGUGGUGCAUGCCUGUCGUCAGCUCGUGUCGUGAGAUGUUGGGUUAAGUCCCGCAACGAGCGCAACCCUUGUUCACUGUUGCCAGCACGUUAUGGUGGGGACUCAGUGGAGACCGCCGGGGUCAACUCGGAGGAAGGUGGGGAUGACGUCAAGUCAUCAUGCCCCUUAUGUCCAGGGCUUCACGCAUGCUACAAUGGCUGGUACAGAGAGUGGCGAGCCUGUGAGGGUGAGCGAGUCUCGGAAAGCCGGUCUCAGUUCGGAUUGGGGUCUGCAACUCGACCUCAUGAAGUCGGAGUCGCUAGUAAUCGCAGAUCAGCAACGCUGCGGUGAAUACGUUCCCGGGGCU
rnacentral:rRNA from 1 species